rnacentral:rRNA from 1 species
ACGGAGGGUGCAAGCGUUGUUCGGAAUUACUGGGCGUAAAGCGUACGUAGGCGGCGGAUUAAGUCGAAUGUUAAAGCCUGGGGCUCAACCCCAGAGAUGCACUCGAUACUGGUCUGCUAGAGGGUGAUAGAGGAAAGCGGAAUUCCCAGUGUAGCGGUGAAAUGCGUAGAUAUUGGGAGGAACAUCAGUAGCGAAGGCGGCCAUCUGGGACAACACUGACGCUGAAGCACGAAAGCGUGGGGAGCAAACAGGA